GACGAACCGAUUGGAAAAUUUUAUAGCGCAACCAAGCUGCAUGAGGCAGCGAUUAAUUUUAAGGAAGUUCGAAAUGAAUGCUUACUUGACGUAAAAUUUUACUUCUACAAAAGUGAGUUACGUAUACCACGUCUUCAGAUAGACCACCACACUGAACUUCUCUUCGGAAAUCUCAUUGCCUUGGAGUGGUGUCAUUAUAAAGGAGAAGAGUACAUCUGCCAUUACGUUAAGCUACUUGAUACUCUUGUUGCCAAACCCAAAGAUGUGGCUCUCCUCAUUAAAAAUAAAUCAUUAAAACAGACAGAGAUGGUGCUUCAGUGAAGAAUCUGAUUGACAAGCUUUCGGCAGAAACUUCUGAAGAAUAUUCCAUUUACCUCUACAAGCAGCUGGAUCAACACUACCAGAAUCCUGGUUGAAAAAUAGCGCAUACUUUAGAGAGGUAUAUUUUGGAAACCUUUGGAGAAGUACUGCAACUGUUAGUGCAACUGUCUUGCUCCUCUCCACUCUUGUACAGACAAUUUGUGCAGUCCUUUCCUUGCGCUAGUACUCCAAGGGGACCAAGUUAGCCCCAAUCCGGUGUCAUUUUAUUUCUCUCAUUGUUGACUUUCGUUGUAUUGUUGUGUACUUUCCGUUUCCUUUGCAGUUUUUCAUUGUACUUCAACUCAUGGGCUUUCUUUGUAUUUAGUAUUCAUGACUUUGUAAUGGAUGCUGUCUUCACUAUCAAGUUCAUCCUGCAGAAUUCAACAAAUCUCCAUCGUAAAGAGUCAAAAAUUAUCUUAGGAAAGCAAAAAUUGAUAGUGAAGAUUAUCUUAGGACUUGAUACUACUCGAAAAUCAACUAACUUACUUCAUUGUUGAGAAACAGUAUGACAAGAGAUAUUACCCUACAUUUCUUCAGCUUAUCUAUAACUACCCUGCAGCGGAGGCAAAACCUCAUCCAAGGGAAGUAAGACAUUUCACUGAUUUGGUAAGGUGUUCUAUAUUGUUGAGAAAAUGAUGAUGAUGGUGAUGAUGAUAAGAUCAAUAGUGUAAAAGAAAAAUCCAACUGCUUUUAGCAGAAUUCAAGGUUGCCUUUCUAUGGUUGCACCUGUUGUCAUAGUACUAGGCAUUCAAAUCAACACAAAGAUCAUGAUAACAAGUAAAAUACUCAUUAAUUUGCUCGCAAAACAAUAAUAAUUAUUUUCAAGAGUAUUUUUAUUUUAAAAUAUAUAUAAAUAAUUUUUAAUAUCAACUGUUAAAUAAUAUUUUUCCUUACUUUUUUAUUUAAGUCAUUGAGAAUGUCUAUUAAUUUGAGUUAUUUUGAAUCUUUAUUACAAAGAAUAUUUUUAAUUAAAUUCUUUUGUCAAAACAAAAAAAUACAUAAAAAGGGCAAUGAAGACAUUGAUCUAAGAAAUGCUAUUUUUUUUUUUCUUUUAAAAUCCAAAUCUUUCUAACUCUUACGAAUAUUGAUUUUAAUUAUUAUAUGAUUAAAUAAAAAUUAGUUUUUGAAAUUACCCCCGCAACAUGAUGCUGGCGGAAAAGCUAUGUACGUUACUCUCUCUCUCUCUUUCGUCCUUUGACAGCUUGUUCAUUCCAGCAAAGAAACAACAGUGGGUGUGGUGGGGAUGGGACUUGGGAUUUUGGUGAACGAUGAUAAUCAGAUGUGGGGACAUUUUAUUAUAAAUAUUAUCUGAGCACCCUAUGGCAUAGCCCAUUGUAAUGAAGUGACUAAUGGCACGUAGGUGGGCCUUCAUUGAGUUCUUGGACUUGAUUUUUUUAAUAUUGUUUUUUAUAUUUUAAAGGGUUGAACAUCAAUUUUCUUUAAAAAAUACGUGAGCAAUAAGUCACCGGCUGAGGCAAGUAGCAUUUCAUCUACGAGCCUAAAUUUCUAACCACUAUGUGGAGUUGGUUGGAAAAUCAGGUUAAUAUUUUGUUUUUUCUUGAUAAAUUCAAUUUUUUAGCCAUUUGAAUUCAAAACACCUCAUGAAGAUUCUUGAAAUACUUAAAAAUCAAUUUAUCAAUCAAAAAUACUUUAAAGAUAUCCAAAAAUCCAAAAUUAAAUCAAGUUUGAUCUGACUUCCUCAUCUUAGAUAUGCUUUCAAAUAAUAUUGAGACUCUAAACAACAACAAUUAAGCCUUUUUUAUUGUAUGAAAUCUAAAAACAUGAAGAAAACUACUUUGAUGGUCGAUAAUAGUGUGAACAAUGACCUUCUUUUUCACCGCUAUACUUUAGCAAUCUCUCUCUCAUUUCUUUAAUCAAGGACUGAAAAUUAACACAAAUUAAUUUUUGUAUCAAAAUUGAAUAUGUGAUUUGAAGGGACCUAAAUUAUAUAAAUUAUAUUAUUUUUAAAGUUUGAGAACCUAAAUGUAUUUUUCGUAAAAACCCUAACAGGCCAUCUAUCUUUUGAUGUAUUUUUCAUUUCACUCCUUUUUUUCAAUUCCAUAAUCUUCCAUCUAUUUCACCUCUAUAUAUAUCAUCUCAUCAGCCUCUCGAGAGUCGACUUAUUUUAGAUAGAAAAAUAUUACUACCAGUCAAGAUCGAGGGAGCAAUGAGCUGGAUCCAUCUUUGCUUCUUGACAAUGACCCAUGCCGAGAAAAUACAGAGGAGAUGGAGAAUUAAUUAAUGGAGAGCAAUGCAAUCAGCUUUCAAAACGAGAGUAGUUUAUCUUGCCCUCCCUCUUGAAGCUUCAAAUGAAAUGGAUCUUUAAUGCCGUCGUUGUAAGGCCAAACUCGGUAACUAUACCGAGAUAUGGAUCAACUUUUUUUUUUUUUUUCUAAAAACAAAUUAAAAUUUAAAAUGCUAUUAUUUUAUUAAAAAAAUAGACAAUAUUUUAACUAAGCAAAGUUCUUAUCUUCUUCGAGUUAUUGAGUUAAACCAUAAGUCAGCUAGAUAUUACUUACUAAUUUAUCACUUAUCUUUUUGCACCAGGUUGGACAUAAGUUUUUUGAAAUAUAUAAAAAAAAUUUAGAUCAUCAGAAACUUUGAAGCAUUAUCAUUAAAUUUAGUAUAAUUGUUUAAAUUUAAAAAAUCUUAAUUUGACUAUUUUUUUAAAUAUUUAGUUAGUGUUUCAAGCUCGCAACAUGAAUUAUGUAUUCAAUUAACUUUGAUUAAUUUUUUUUUUAUUUGAUGAUAGAAAACAUAAAAAUUGAUUUAUCAUUAAAUCAAUACUCUUAGAUAAAAUUCAAUAAAAAUCUCAAAUUAAAUGAUGCAAUUAUAAAAAAAGGGGCAAAAGAUAUAAACAAAAGAGCCAAAAAAAUCUUGAUCCGAAUCUUUAAUUAAUAUUUAGCUAACUUUUAAUUUAAAUAUUGAUGCAAUGGACUUUACAUAUUGAUUUUUUUUAAUUUAUUAUAUGAUAAGACAAAAACUAAUUUACUAUUAAUCCAAUAUCAAUGAUAAAAUUUAAUAAAAAAUUCAUACUAAAUAAUGAAAUUUAAAAAAAAAAAAACAAUAUAAAAAAAUUAAAAAUCCCAACCAGACUUUUUAAUGAAUAUUUAAUUAACUCAUUAAAGCUACAAUUCUAGUUAUAAACUUUAUUGGUUUUAUUCAAGUUUUUAAUUUUAUUAUAUAAUAAAAAAUAAAAAAUUAAUUUAUUAUUAAGAAAACUAAGAUUGAAUAAAAACCCUUUAAUGAUAGGAGUAUGAAAAAAAAAUAUCCAAGAAAAAAAGCCCAGUCACCCUCAGCUUGUUCAUAGGAGCCAGGAAUGCGAACCUGAAAGUCGUCUCUGUUUGAUUUUAAAAAAAUAACAGCCACUGGCUUCUUUGCUACUGAAUUCUCGAUCGAAGAAGCAAAAUUAAAAAAAAAAAAAUCGAAUCCAAAACAGGAGUUAGUUGAAUUUGUUUUGACAAGAGAGAAAAGGAUAGUUAAACACAAAACAAGGAGAGAGAGAGAGAGAGAUGAGAGAUUUUUCAAUGGGGAACUUUUGACGAAAAAAAAGAAGAUAUUUUGAUGUAAAUUGCGGGGUCACAAAUUGAUUAUGAAUAUUAAGUUCUGUUUGGUAACGCAGUCUUCAAUUCUCCGUGUAUUUAAGAAAUACUGUUUUGUUUUGUUGGGUGUUUGAAAAUAUAGUUAUAAUUGCUUUUCAAAUAUAUUUUUACUAAAAAGAAUAUGUUAAUUUUUAUUUUUAAAAAAAUAUUUUUGAGAUUAGUACAUUAAAAUGAUUUGAAAACAUCAAAAAUAUAUUAAUAAAAAAAAAUUAAAUUUUUUAAAAAAUACUUUUAAAAUACAGCGCUAAACACGCUCCCACAGCAAACAACCAGAACUCCAGGUUGAAAAAUAGCGCAUACUUUAGAGAGGUAAUUUUGGAAACCUUUGGAGAAGUACUGCAACUGUUAGUGCAACUGUCUUGCUCCUCUUCACUCUUGUACAGACAAUUUGUGCAGUCCUUUCCUUGCGCUAGUACUCCAAGGGGACCAAGUUAGCCCCAAUCCGGUGUCAUUUUAUUUCUCUCAUUGUUGACUUUCGUUGUAUUGUUUGUGUACUUUCCGUUUCCUUUGCAGUUUUUCAUUGUACUUCAACUCAUGGGCUUUCUUUGUAUUUAGUAUUCAUGACUUUGUAAUGGACGCUGUCUUCGCUAUCAAGUUCAUCCUGCAGAAUUCAACAAAUCUCCAUCCUAAAGAGUCAAAAAUUAUCUUAGGAAAGCAAAAAUUGAUAGUGAAGAUUAUCUUAGGACUUGAUACUACUCGAAAAUCAACUACCUAAGGGCGGAGUCAUGAAUUUUUUUUAUCCUGGACUAUUAAAUAAAAAUAUAAAUAUAUUUUAAGAUCGAUUAUUAAUUCAUGUACAUUAAUUUUUAAAAUUAAUAUUAAAGUUUUAAUUCAAAUACAUUAUCCAAAAUAUUAAAAAAUAAAUUUGAAAGUAUAUAAAAUUAAGACGAAAGUAAAAAUAAACUCACUAUUAAAGUUACAUCCUUCGAUGUUUUGUGGAAUAUAAUUCAUCUAUAAUCGAAUCUGAAUCGAUAUUGUAACAACCCCUCAACCGGGAUAAAAUAACAAUCUCAUGUCAACUGGAAAAUAAAGUAAUUAAAUUUUUUUCCUCUUUUAAUUCCUUCUUCCUUCACUUGAUUCUUCCUAGAUUAGUGUUUUAUAAGUUGGACUUUGUAAGUUUACAAGGUUAUUUCUCACUUUUAUUUUUUUCUUGGAAUUUUUUUAUGUUUUUCCCUUACUUUUUUCUAUUUCUCUCUCGCCUUUUCUUUUCUUUCUUCUUCUAUUCUGCUUCUGCUCAGUCGGCAACAUAUAAAAGGAAGGAGGAGCUGAUUUGUUUUAUUUUUUAAUGGCAAAUAACCAUUUUACUCUUAAUGAGUCAUUUUGCUUUUAUUUGACGGUCUUUUUUUUGUUAGCACUACCAAGCUCCGUUCAUCCUAAACUCUUAACUAGAUUUUAUUCAAUAUAUUUUAAGAUCCCUCGUAAAAUUUCAACUCGAUCUGAUGGUCGGAUUGAAAAUUACAUCCAAUAACGUAAAACUGAUCAAAUUGUGAUUUUUCAUCAAAUUUCUAAAUUUCUCCAAAAAUUCUGAAAUUUUAACCCAAGCUAAAGCAUCAUAUUAGAAGGCUCCACGUAAAUUUUCAGAAUUUUUUGAUAACUUAAUUGAGAAUUAUAAAUUUUUUUACAUAAAACUAGUUAAAAAAUAUUGAUAAAAUCUUGACCUAGGCUAAAGCCCACCCCAGCCUUUACCAUGCCUCCGCCUAUUUACUACCUUACUUAAUUGUUGAGAAACAGUAUGACAAGAGAUAUUACCCUACAUUUCUUCAGCUUAUCUGUAACUACCCUGCAGUGGAGGCAAAACCUCAUCCACGGGAAGUAAGACAUUUCACUGAUUUGGUAAGGUGUUCUAUGUUGAUUGAGCCUAGUCCUCGAAACCUUGACUUUCCUAUUGAACUCAAAUAUAAGGCAACCACGCUCGUUAAGGCAGGAGUUAAGUUUGUAGUUGUUGAUAAUAACCAUCUGGUUGACAUAAGAUUUGAUAAUGGGGUGUUGAAAAUACCACGCUUGGUCACUGGAAAUUAACAUUUUCGAAUGUACAAUUCGAAAUAUUAUAUGGCCUUGGAGCAGUUCCAUUACUAUCCAAAUGCAACUAAUUACAUAUGCGAUCACUUGUCAAGACUGAAGAAGAUGUGGAUUUGAUUGUCAGCUGGCUAGAGGACAACGCUAUGGUACCAGAUUUGAUCAACCAACUUUGUGGAGGAUUUGGACAAAUUUACACUCGCCAUCGUCAUGUCCGUGAAGGAUUAAAUGCUUUUUUUUUUAAUGAAGAAUUUACAAGGACUAAUUAACACAACCAUAGAAGAGUAGUAACCUAGAAAGUAGAAACUUAUUGAAGAAAAAAUGAAUUAUAUAGGCAGCCAUGUUAGAGGUCUUAAGGAAUGUUGAAUAAGGUGCAGAAAUGCUGAGCAUUUUCCUCUUCAUCACAUAAACAUAUAUUUAGGGCAACGAACAGGUAUCUUCAACUUCCAUGGAGCCCUCGGGUCCGCAGUUAUUAGUAGAACCAAAAACCAACAGAGUUAAACUAAUUAAUUGAAUUUUUAUCGAUGUAACUAUGAGAUUAAUAUUUUAUCAAUGAUGAGAUCAAUAGUGUAAAAGAAAAAUCCAACUGCUUUCAGCAGAAUAUAACACUGCAUUAGACUGACAAAAACUACUCGGAAAACAAUCCUGCUACUACAGUAGCUUCAAACCGCCUGCUUCGAGCCUAUAGAAGCAACUGUAUUGAAAUAAACACCAAUUAUGGAGAACAUAUGGGAAACCAUAACCAGAUACUGACUGUAGUAAUAAAACUAGAUAAGCUGCUUUGGACCUAGAAGUGAAAUUAUUGAACAUACAGUCUGUAUCAAAGUGAGGAUCAGCAGGACAGCUGCAGCAACAGUUCCGGUACCUCUCCAAAGAUUGCUGAAAUAUACAAGUUUCAAGGUUGCCUUUCUAUGAUUGCACCUGUUCUCAUAGUAGGCAUUCAAAUCAACACAAAGAUCAUGAUAACAAGUGAAAAAUUCAUUAAUUUGCUCGCAAAGCCGGUUAAUCAAAUCGGCAACCAUGGCGUUGUUUCCUAGCCAGUUAUCAAUCACCCCCACUUUAACCAGCAAAUCCACAUCUUCUUCAGUGUUGAUAAGAUGGUCCAUUAACAUAAAGUAAUUGCAUAUGUAAGUACUAUAUGGGUAGUGGCACUGCUCAUAUGCCAUGAGGUUUCGUGUCACAUAUUCGAAGCUCUGAUUUACUUCAAAGCGUGGCAUUUUCAACACUCCGUUGACAAAAUUUAUGUCGAGUACACAACUGUUUUCAGUUGCCUCAAACUUCAAUCCUGCUUUAUGAAGCAUGGUUGCACUGUAUUUCAGUUUGACAUUGGCACUAGGACGACGAGGUAAUAUCUCCAGGGACUCAUUCAACAUAGCAUAUCUCAGAAAAUCAGUGAAAUGCUUUAUCCCUACUGAGUUGACUUUUGGUCUCUGUGAAAUCCUGUAGUAAUGUCCAAAGUAGAAGGCGACAAGCUCAGGAAAAGUCAGGCUAGCUUGUGUUUCAGGGUCUGGAUAGGUUUGCUCGUAUAUUUUCUCCAGAAUGAAAUAAGGUAGCUGAUUUUCAAGUAGUAUCAAGUCCACUUGUAAACCAAACAUCAUCCGAGGCUCAGGUAAUAUAGGAACUUCUUCACAGAAAAGGUUAAGGAACUGCAACAAGAAUUCGAUGACGAAUACAGCAUCCAACAGAAUCAUCUUUAAAAAUCACAGCUACGAUUGAAGUUAUAACAGCCUCGAAUUUCCAUUUCAUUCUUCUGAACUAUGGUCACAAGAUCGUCCAAUGUCACCUUCUUCCCAUCCAUGAAUUCUGCUAAAUAUCUCAAUUUCUGCUCCUCCAUUGACACUAGUUCCUCAUGGCCACAGUGAGCAGGGCCUAGUGAAACUACUUGUGGGGUGUAGGCUUUCGGUUCUAUGCUUCGAAGUGAGCGGGGUACCUCGUAGAUACAGUGCUCGGGACAUUUUCCAGGUUUGAACCUUGCUAUCCCAUCUGCUAGAUCUUUCAGAACAUUUGAAGCACUUGCCGCUUCAAUCUCCUUUCCCGUGUUUGAAGCACUUGCCUUAUCAAUCCUGUUUUCAUUAUUUGAACGUGUUGCCAUGCCAAUAUCCUUAUUUGAAGCACUUGGGGUAUUAAUAUUGUUUUCCAUUUGUCAACAGAUUUUUGUCCUGGAGAGACAGCCAAUUGAAUCACUGGCAAUAAAAAUAUAUCUCCAAAUCAAGUGUACCAUGGUUGCUACAAUCUUACAUUCAUUUCAAUUCACAUUUAAAACGAUUUAUUUUUGUUUUCCAGCCACUCUUAACAAGUUUUAAGACCAGAUCAAACAAAUCAAAACAAAACAACUGUAUAAGAAACUAUUUUCAAGGAAAGAUCAUGAAGUUGAAUGAAAAAUACAGAGCAAAUCAUGGGAGAUUACAUGUGUAUUAUGGCUAUUGUUAAUUUCCCAUCAUCCUGAUCCAUAGAUUAUAUAGAUGUGUCAUGUAGAGUACUUUUUAACAUUAUCUAUGAUAUGAUCUCGGCCAUGUGGAUCCGUAAUUUUAUCAUUGUUUUGAUUCAGCUCUAGCAAUUUAUUUGUUCAGUUUGUUCUGUGUUUAGUUUUUUUGUUUUGUUUUGUUUUAAUUAUGAAUGUGAACCUCCACUGGCCUUAAUUAAACCAAAUUGAGAUGUGGGAUUAAGUUAUGUCAUGGGAAGUAAGAAUUCUGCUUCAAGAUUGUCAAUUGAAUGUUUUAUGAAAAAAAUGUGAAUUCUCUAUUUUAUCAUGUAAUGAUCUAUCUGGGCAUUUCAUUGAUUUAUUAUUAUUAUUAUUGGUUGAAUUGAAGAUGAGGCAGAAUUCAUGAGAACUAAGAACAUCAUCAUAUACUAAAUUCUUUUAUUCUAUAUAUAUAUAUAUAUACACUAUUGUUUUUUGGUCCUCCAGCUUUAGCUUUCAAUUUGUUUUUCUAAGGAGUCAUAACCUAAUUUUGUAAAAUUUAACAACAAGAAAACCUAAAAAAAUAUAAGAAAAUCUGGACAAAACAGAUUAAAACACACCCAAGUGCAUAAAACCACGAAAACAUAACUUUUAAGGCCUAAUUUGAAAGGAACAAUAGUUAGGGAAACAAACUAUAUAAUUGAUUGUCGUCAAUUAACAACAAAAAAACCUAACAAAAUAUAAGAAAAUCUGGGCAAAACAGAUUAAAACACUCCCUAGCGAAUAAAACCACGAAAACAACUCUUCCUAGCUAAAGACCAUCUCUUUUUAGUGUUGUUCUGCAAAAAGCCAAAACUGUUUUCUGCCAAGUAUAGAACCAUUUUGGAAUAUUUAUUGCUGAAGCAAUGCAAUUGCCUUUUCCGAAGGAAAGUUGUGUGCUGGGAUAUUUCUACGUACACAAUUCCUUCGGAAGUAGUAUGUAUGGAUAUCCUACACAGCUUAUCAGCUGUGAUCUUACGAGAGAAUCUUAAUCUUUAGUUAUAAUGGAGCAAUUAACCUCGCAGGGUAGGGGAGAUCGGCCAAGUAAUCGAGAACUCAUGAGGGUUAAAGCCUAAAGGACGAACUUCAUUUAUCAUUAAGAAGUAAGAACCGCUAAAUUAAGGCUUAAUUGAAAACUUUAAACAAAUAUAGUGAAACAAAAGAUGAACAUGAACAGAAAGAAAAAAGAACAGUAAAAGUAGCUAGUGCGCAAAGAACCUGAGUGCCUUUACCUGAGGAAAGCAAUUGUUUUGUUGUAAGCAGCACGCAGCCCCUUCCCUGGAUAUUGCUAUACUGAUCUGUUGAAUGCAGCCUCCCUCUCUCACUCUCUAUGUCUCCCUAAUAUGUAUAAUAAACAAGUAGUAUUCUUCUCUGUCUACUUGUCAUUGUUUCUCUCUCGUUUGGAAAUUACCGUCUUUUGAUUUAUUUUUUAGCUUCCAUCCAUGGCUUUUCAUUUUUUAGCUUUUUAAAGGGCUGGACAUCAUUUCUUUUAAAAAAAAAAAUACGUGAGCAAUAAGUCACACAUGAUGGGCAAACAACAUUUUAUCCACGAGUCUAGAUUCCAACUACUAUUAUAAUUAUUUAUAAAUUUAGAUUCCAACUACUAUUAUAAUUAUCUACAAGUCUAGAUUUCAACCACCAUCAUAAUUGCUGAAAAAUCAGGUUAGUAUUUUAUUUUUCCCCAUAAAUCUAAUUUUUAAGUUUUUUGAAUUUAAAACACCUUAUCAACAUCUUAUAAUACUUAAAAAUCAAUUUUAUAAAUUAUAUUAUUUUUAAAGAUUGAGAAUCUAAAUCUAUUCUUCGCAAAAAUCCUAGUACGCUAUCUAUUUUUGAUAUAUUUUUCAUUUCAGCUCUUUUUUUCAAUUCCAUAAUUUUCCAUCUAUUUCACCUCUACAUGUAUCAUCUCAUCAGCCUCUCGAGAGUCAACUUCUUUCAGAUAGAAAAAUAUUACUACCAGUCAAGAUCGAGGGAGCAAUGAGCUGGAUCCAUCUUUGCUUCUUGAAAAUGACCCAUGUCGAGAACAUACAGAGGAGACGGAGAAUUAAUUAAUGGAGAGCAAUGCAAUCAGCUUUCAAAACGAGAGUAGUUUAUCUUGCCCUCCCUCUUGAAGCUUCAAAUGAAAUGGAUCUUUAAUGCCGUCGUUGUAAGGCCAAACUCGGUAACUAUACCGAGAUAUGUAAAAAUCUCAACUUGGACUAUUUUUUAAUAUUUAGCCAGUCUUUCAUAACUCGCAAGUUAUGAUUCAAGUGGUUUAGAUUAUUUAUUUAUUUUUUAUUUGAUAGUAAAAGAUACAAAAAUUAAUUUAUCAUCAAUUUAAUAUUCAAGAUUAAAAUUCAAUAAAAAUCCCAAAUUAAAUAAUGCAAUUAAAAAAAGGACAAAAAAUUAAAAAAAAAAAGCCAAAAAAUCUUGACCCAAAAUUUUAAUAUUUAGUUAACAUGUUAAAUUUAUGACCCGAGUUAUGAAUUUUAUGAAAUUAAUUUUAUAUUUUAAAUUUAUUAUAUAAUAAGAUGAAAACUAAUUUAUUAGGAAAAAAAUGGUAGAAGCUUGAAAGUUAAAAAUUAGAAUUUCAUCUUCACACGAUUGAUCGAUUGAUACUGACUCAAAUCAAUACGAAGUGAUAGGUUUUUAUAGAUAAUUAGCUUAUCAUGGAGAUAAUAUACAAAGUUAAUUUGGUCAUUUCAUUAAAUUUGAAUGGUUAAGUUGUCUUAAGAUGUAAUUAAAUGGUAAUUUUUUGGAUUAUAGCAAGUAACUAUAAUUAAUUGGAAUAAAAAACACCACCACAAGACAGGGACGUCACACGUUACGUGCCACCUAAUCUUACACUUCUCUUUAAUUCUUGGAAAUGAUGGUGCUAAUUUUGGUUUUGAAAAACAAAUUAUUUUUUUAAAAUAUUUUUUUUGUUUUAAAUUAUUUUUUUAAAUUUUUAAAUUAUUUUGAUGUGUUAAUAUCAAAAAUAAUUUUUUUAAAAUAAAAAAUAUUAUUUUAAUAUAUUUAUAAAUAAAAAAUAUUUUUAAAAACCAAACAUUACUAUCCCACCGAACACCACAUUAACCAAUAUGUUAUAAAAAAUCUGAAGGGGUCCUUUCCAUAGUAGUGGUAUGACACAGUUAGCAAUUGUGUCUUUAAAUAAAAUAAAAAUAAAGUAGCUAAUCAUAUCCCAGAUAGUGACAUUAUAUUUUUUUUUCUAUUUCUUUUUAUUGAACAAUUGUCAAAUUUCUCAGACAAAGAUUAAAUUAUCCAAUAAAAAACAAGUUAUUUAUACAAAUCUUAAUGUAAUAUUUAGCAUGUUUACAGUAUUAGUUGAACCUAAUUGUCUUGUGUUAGAUGUUCUUUGAACUGUAUUGAAUAAUUUGUCUUAUUAUAAUUUUGAUAGAUAUUGAACGAGACUUAAUCAAGCCUAUAUGUGGAUCAGUACAGAUUUUUUAUAUAUAUAAAAAAUUAAAGAAAUAUUGGCCAGAUCUAACUAGUAAAAAUCUCAAAUCGAAAUGCAACGCAAUCGACUUGAGACAAAACACGGGUUAGAAAUUUAUUGAUUUUUUUAUUAAAAUAAGUUUGUUUUGAUUUUUUUUUUAAAUUUGGAUCAACUUAGUUGACCCUCUUUUCACGUGACCCAAGCUUUACCCCGGAUAAUAAUUAUUUUUAUUCAUACAUUGACUUAAAUCAACUCGAGUUGACUCUUUAGACCAGUGAACCAAGCGUUGUUUCGGGUCGACCUCCAAAUUAGAUUUUAAAACUAUGUUAUAGAUAUUAAGUGAAAAUAUAUAUCUUUAUGUUGACUUGAAUCAACCAUGUUAUAGAUAUUAAGUGAAAAAAUAUAUUUUUUUCCCUUUUUUUUUUUAAUUCCUUUCAUUGCUAUUUCUUUUUAAUUUAAUAGAUUGCAGGUUCGAGAAAUUAACCGGGGUUUAAAAGGCUUACCUGUGCUAUUUUUCUUUCUUUUUUAAGCUCUUUUCUUUUUUUGUUUCAUUUUCUAACAUUGUUUUGCUUCUUCUUCUUCUUCUUCUUGGUUGUUUUGAAAAUAACAUGGGCUAUCUCGAGUUUUUAUUUUUUUUGCCUUUGUUGAAUUUAAAAGUUUUAAAAGAAAUUUUGUUUUUGAAUCAGAUCAAAUUAAUUGAUUAAAUAUAAAUAUAAAAUACUUGUUUCAUGAUAUUUUAUUUUUUAAUUUAAUUAAAUUAAUUUAUUUCAUCAUUUGACAUUAAACUGGUAAGAAGUUGAGUAUUUUUGAAAUGAGCUUGGGUCUAUAAUUUAAUGGAUUGUGGGUCUGAAAGAUUAACCUGGGUUUAAAAGGCACACAUGAACUCUUUUUUUUAGCCUUUUCUUUCAUCGUCCAACAUUGUUUUGCUUAUUUUUUUUUAUACUUUUUAUAGAAUUUUUUAGUCGGUUUGAAAAUAACACGAGUUAUCUUGAAUUAUUUUUGGACUUUGUUGAAUUAAUUCUUUUUAAUUAAAUUAAUUAAUUAAAUUAAUUUAAAUAUAAAAUAACCAUUUCAUGAUAUUUUAUUUUAUGUACCUUUUGGGUUAAUAUUGAUCUAAUAGUGCAUACACUCCUUUCAAUUUUAUUUUAUUUACUUUUUGGAAAGUCAUUUUGAUCUGAUAACAUUGGAGAUAAAUAAAAAAUCUCUUAUAUGUCAUUAAUAAGAUAUAAUAUCUUUUACAUAUAAUUAAUAAGUGAUAAAUAUUAAAUAUUUUUGAAAACUUUUAUUCAUCUAAGAGUGUAAAUAGAUAAAUACCAUUGAUCUUAACAUUUUAUGUUAAAGGUUAUAACAAAAAACAAGCGGAGUUCUACGACCCAAUAAAGGGCCUCAAAUGAUCACUAAUUUUACAUGCAUCUUGGCUCGAUAAGAUGAUGAGUCUAAAAAUAUUGGGUUGGAUAGCUUUCUAAAUCUACAUAUAUUUAGGCUCAUCAUGUAGCAUGAUUCAUAAAUAUUGAGCUUGGUGAAUAUCAAACUCAUGUGUACGUGAGUCUAACUCAUAACUAAGUGCACAUAUAUUUAAACUCAAUAUGUAGCAGAGCUUGGACAUUGGUUCAUUUGGUCUUUUUUAAGCUACUGCAAAUGUAAAAGAUGCAAGAUGAUGUUACUUUGAGUAGGGUUUCUGUAGAAUUUCAUCGUAUUUUCUUAUUCCAGAAACAGGGGAUUUAUACAUCACAAUAUACAACCUUUCUAUUUGUGUUUGGAAAGGAAACAAUUACGAUCCCAUGACAAUCGGGAUUUACAUAAAUAGAAGAUAAACGUGACUAUUACAGCUAUAGUUUCCUAAUGUCUCUCGGUUUGUACAGCUCAUGCCAACACUCCUCCUCAAGUUGGUGUAGAAAUGUCUUUGAUACCCAACUUGUCAAGUGAGCUGUGAAAGUUUUUGUUUGAGACGGCUUUUGUAAGCAUGUCCGCAAGUUGGUCCUCUGAUAUGACGAACGGAAAGCAAAUUAUGUUUUCUUCAAGAUUCUGCUUAAUAAAAUGCCGGUCUAUCUCAAUGUGCUUCGUUCUAUCAUGUUGGAUUGGGUUUUGAGAUAUUUCUAUCGCGGCUUUAUUAUCACAAUAUAAAUUCAUUUCUGAAUUUGGUGCAAAACCAAUUUCUGAAAGCAGGCGUCUGAGCCAUAAAAGCUCACAAAGCCCCUUUGCCAUACCUCUAAACUCGGCUUCCGCACUUGAUAGAGCUACCACCUUUUGUUUCUUACUCCUCCACGUAACCAAGUUGCCUUCGACGAAUGUGAAGUAUCCUGAUGUGGAUUUUCUGUCGACCAAGUUUCCUGCCCAGUCUGCAUCUGUAUAGCCUUCAACAUCUAAGUGAUCAUUCUUAGAGAAUAUAAUCCCAUUUCUCGGAGCUGAUUUCAAGUAUCGAAGAAUCUGAACAACCACAUCCAUGUGAUAUUUACUAGGGAAAUGCAUAAAUUGACCAACCACGCUCACCGCGUAUGAAAUAUCUGGACGAGUAUGAGAUAAAUAAAUUAGCUUACCCACCAGUCGUUGAUACCUCUCUUUGUCGGUUGGGGUUUGAUCAGGAUACUCCCCAAGUUUCUGAUUCUGAAUUGUCGGAGUAUUCGUCGGCUUGUAGUCGAGCAUUCCAACUUCGGCCAAUAGAUCAAGUACAUACUUUCGUUGUGAUAGAAAGAUGCCUUGUUUUGAUCUGGCCACUUCUAUUCCUAGAAAAUAUUUGAGUCCACCCAAGUUCUUCAUUUCAAAUUCCAUGGCCAAAUGUUUCUCCAGUCUAUAGAUUUCUUCUGAAUCAUCUCCAGUGAUUAUCAUGUCAUCGACAUAGAUUAUCAAGGUAGUUAUUUUCCCUUGUCGUCGUUUUAGGAAGAGAGUAUGAUCAGAGUUGCUUUGUUGAAAAUCAUACUUUCUCAUAGCCAUGCUAAAGCGACCAAACCAUGCACGCGGUGAUUGUUUCAGCCCAUACAAUGCCCUUUGUAACCUGCAGACAAUUCCUGUGGAGGAUGACAUAUAACCUGGUGGGAUAUCCAUAAAUACUUCUUCCUUAAGAUCUCCGUGAAGAAAGGCGUUCUUCACGUCAAAUUGAUGUAGGGGCCAAUCCUAUCCCAGAUAGUGACAUUAUAUUUUUUUUUUUAUUUCUUUUUAUUGAACAAUUGUCAAAUUUCUCAGACAGAGAUUAAAUUAUCCAAUAAAAAACAAGUUAUUUAUACAAAUCUUAAUGUAAUAUUUAGCAUGUUUACAGUAUUAGUUGAACCUAAUUGUCUUGUGUUAGAUGUUCUUUGAACUAUAUUGAAUAAUUUGUCUUAUUAUAAUUUUGAUAGACAUUGAACGAGACUUAAUCAAGCCUAUAUGUGGAUCAGUACAGAUUUUUAUAUAUAAAAAAAAAAUUAAAGAAAUAUUGGCCAGAUCUAACUAGUAAAAAUCCCAAAUCGACAUGCAACGCAAUUGACUUGAGACAAAACACGGGUUAGAAAUUUAUUGAUUUUUUUAUUAAAAUAAGUUUGUUUUGAUUUUAUUUUUAAAUUUGGAUCAACCUAGUUGACCCUCUUCUCACGUGACCCAAGCUUUACCCCGGAUAAUAAUUAUUUUUAUUCAUACAUUGACUUAAAUCAACUCGAGUUGACUCUUUAGACCAGUGAACCAAGCGUUGUUUCGGGUCGACCUCCAAAUUAGAUUUUAAAACUAUGUUAUAGAUAUUAAGUGAAAAUAUAUAUCUUUAUGUUGACUUGAAUCAACCAUGUUAUAGAUAUUAAGUGAAAAAAUAUAUUUUUUUCCCUUUUUUUUUUAAAUUCCUUUCAUUGCUAUUUCUUUUUAAUUUAAUAGAUUGCAGGUUCGAGAAAUUAACCGGGGUUUAAAAGGCUCACCUGUGCUAUUUUUCUUUCUUUUUUAAGCUAUUUUUUUUUGUUUCAUUUUCUAACAUUGUUUUGCUUCUUCUUCUUCUUCUUCUUGGUUGUUUUGAAAAUAACAUGGGCUAUCUCGAGUUUUUAUUUUUUUUGCCUUUGUUGAAUUUAAAAGUUUUAAAAGAAAUUUUGUUUUUGAAUCAGAUCAAAUUAAUUGAUUAAAUAUAAAUAUAAAAUACUUGUUUCAAGUAAUUUCUAUAGGUCCUUUUCACCAUGGUAAUAAAAAACUGAGGCCUAUGCAAAUUCAGAAACAAAGAUAUCUGAAAGAAUUCUGUAAGAGAUUGGGAGGGGAAACAAAGGUGCAAGAAUCUUUGAAAGUACUUUGGAACACCAUUCAAAGUCUUGAAGAUAAAAUCAAACGCUGUUAUGCAGAUAAUACGUUUGUUAAAUUUUCUAGCAAUGAUGAUAAGUUUGUGAAGAUGAUUCUGUUAGAUGCAGUGUUCAUCUUCGAGCUCUUCUUGAAGAAUGAAGAAGAUACACGCGAUAACAAACGAUAUCAAGAUGAUUUCAUCAUAGGCAAACCCUGGCUGAGAGCUGAGAUUCGACGGGACUUGAUAUUGCUUGAAAAUCAGCUUCCAUUCUUCAUUCUCAAGAAAUUAUAUAGCCUUGCCAUCGAGGAAACAAAGCUCAAUUAUCCUUCUUUUCUGGACCUUUCCUGCCACUACUUUGAGAAGUACGGUAAGAACAAAACCAAGCCAGAUGAAACCAAGCCUUAUAAGCCGUUGCAUUUCACUGAUUUGGUAAGACAUUUUCUAUCCUUCAAGCACCCGCAGCUAUUAGAAUCACGAAAUGGAAAGCAAACUAAAAAUCUUUAUAGCGCAACCAAGCUGCAUGAGGCAGCGAUUAAUUUUAAGGAACUUCGAAAUGAAUGCUUACUUGACGUAAAAUUUUCUUCUAGAAAAGGUGAGUUACGUAUACCAUGUCUUCAGAUAGACCACCACACUGAACUUCUCUUCGGCAAUCUCAUUGCCUUGGAGCGGUGUCAUUAUAAAGGAGAAG
rnacentral:lncRNA from 1 species